rnacentral:rRNA from 1 species
GGGGAAUAUUGGACAAUGGGCGAAAGCCUGAUCCAGCCAUGCCGCGUGAGUGAUGACGGCCCUAGGGUUGUAAAGCUCUUUCGCAGGUGAAGAUAAUGACGGUAACCUGAGAAGAAGCCCCGGCUAACUUCGUGCCAGCAGCCGCGGUAAUACGAAGGGGGCUAGCGUUGUUCGGAAUUACUGGGCGUAAAGCGCGCGUAGGCGGAUUGGUCAGUUAGGGGUGAAAUCCCGGGGCUCAACCCCGGAACUGCCUUUAAUACUGCCGGUCUAGAGUUCGAGAGAGGUGAGUGGAAUUCCGAGUGUAGAGGUGAAAUUCGUAGAUAUUCGGAGGAACACCAGUGGCGAAGGCGGCUCACUGGCUCGAUACUGACGCUGAGGUGCGAAAGCGUGGGGAGCAAAC